rnacentral:rRNA from 1 species
CACGCCGUAAACGAUGUCAACUAGCCGCCGGCCUCACUCUAGAGGUCGGUGGUGCAGCUAACGCAUUAAGUUGACCGCCUGGGGAGUACGGCCGCAAGGUUGAAACUCAAAGGAAUUGACGGGGGCCCGCACAAGCGGUGGAGCAUGUGGUUUAAUUCGAUGCAACGCGAAGAACCUUACCUGGUCUUGACAUGUAGUGAACUUAGCAGAAAUGUUUUGGUGCCUUCGGGAACACUAACACAGGUGC